CACCUUUGACAUGGCAGGAAGUUUCCAGAGAUGGAUUCGUGCUCGAAAGAGAACCUGCACACAGGUGCUGCAUGGCUGUCGUCAGCUCGUGUCGUGAGAUGUUGGGUUAAGUCCCGCAACGAGCGCAACACUUGCCAUUAGUUGCUACGAAAGGGCACUCUAAUGGGACUGCCGGUGACAAACCGGAGGAAGGUGGGGAUGACGUCAAGUCCUCAUGGCCCUUAUAGGUGGGGCUACACACGUCAUACAAUGGCCGGUACAAAGGGCAGCCAACCCGCGAGGGGGAGCCAAUCCCAUAAAGCCGGUCGUAGUCCGGAUCGCAGUCUGCAACUCGACUGCGUGAAGUCGGAAUCGCUAGUAAUCGUGGAUCAGCAUGUCACGG
rnacentral:rRNA from 1 species